rnacentral:rRNA from 1 species
AGUGGCGGACGGGUGAGUAAUGCUUAGGAAUCUGCCUAGUAGUGGGGGAUAACUCGAGGAAACUCGGGCUAAUACCGCAUACGCUCUACGGGGGAAAGCGGGGGACUUUCGGGCCUCGCGCCAUUAGAUGAGCCUAAGUCCGAUUAGCUAGUUGGUAGGGUAAUGGCCUACCAAGGCGACGAUCGGUAGCUGGUCUGAGAGGACGACCAGCCACACUGGGACUGAGACACGGCCCAGACUCCUACGGGAGGCAGCAGUGGGGAAUAUUGGACAAUGGGCGCAAGCCUGAUCCAGCGAUGCCGCGUGUGUGAAGAAGGCCUGCGGGUUGUAAAGCACUUUCAGUAGGGAAGAAAAGCCGAGCGCUAAUAUCGCUCAGUCUUGACGUUACUUACAGAAGAAGCACCGGCUAACUCCGUGCCAGCAGCCGCGGUAAUACGGAGGGUGCGAGCGUUAAUCGGAAUUACUGGGCGUAAAGGGCGCGUAGGCGGUUUGGUAAGUCGGGUGUGAAAGCCCCGGGCUCAACCUGGGAAUUGCAUUCGAUACUGCCUGGCUAGAGUAUGGUAGAGGGAAGCGGAAUUCCGGGUGUAGCGGUGAAAUGCGUAGAUAUCCGGAGGAACACCAGUGGCGAAGGCGGCUUCCUGGACCAAUACUGACGCUGAGGCGCGAAAGCGUGGGGAUCAAACAGGAUUAGAUACCCUGGUAGUCCACGCCCUAAACGAUGAGAACUAGCCGUUGGAGG